rnacentral:tRNA from 1 species
GGGCGCGUAGCUUAAUGGACAAAGCCCCUUUUUGGCUAAGAGGAGGAUGCGGGUUCGAUUCCCGCCGCGCUCA